CCAGCACUGGGAAGUGGAGAAUGACUUCAUUAAAUCCCGUGGUUCCACGGAUCCGUCUCCCUGGAUUUAUUGCCUACUCGCCACCCGGAAGGACCCCGGAGAAGGAGAGAGGGCCGAACGCUUGCUAAGCUGUUCCGGUCCUGUAGCCUGAAGUGGGGUCAACUGACAAUACAGCAAAUCUGCUGAGCUGCGGUGUUCUCUGCUCAUCCCAUUCUGUGGAGUCCCACCGUGAAUCAAGCCUACGUGGAAAACCGCUGAACAGUUCCGGUUAAAGUUUAGGUGACCGUUCUCUGGA